rnacentral:rRNA from 1 species
GACGAACGCUGGCGGCGUGCUUAACACAUGCAAGUCGAACGGAAAGGCCUCUUUCGGGGGGUACUCGAGUGGCGAACGGGUGAGUAACACGUGAGUAACCUGCCCUUGACUUUGGGAUAACUUCAGGAAACUGGGGCUAAUACCGGAUAGGAGCUCCUGCUGCAUGGUGGGGGUUGGAAAGUUUCGGCGGUUGGGGAUGGACUCGCGGCUUAUCAGCUUGUUGGUGGGGUAGUGGCUUACCAAGGCUUUGACGGGUAGCCGGCCUGAGAGGGUGACCGGCCACAUUGGGACUGAGAGACGGCCCAGACUCCUACGGGAGGCAGCAGUGGGGAAUAUUGCACAAUGGGUGGAAGCCUGAUGCAGCAACGCCGUGUGCGGGAUGACGGCCUUCGGGUUGUAAACCGCUUUCGCUCAUGACGAAGCUUUGUGUGACGGUAGCGGGUAAAGAAGCACCGGCUAACUACGUG